rnacentral:tRNA from 1 species
GGUAGUGUGGCCAAGUGUCUAAGGCACUAGACUAAGGCUCCAGUCUCUUUGGGGGCAUGGGUUCAAAUCCACCACUGCCA